UGGAACGGUGUGCUGAAGUCACUGUGGGGGGGGGGGUAAGUGUGUGCAUAGACGUGUGCUGGAGUCUGCUCAUGUGCCAGGCUGCUGCCUUGAGGGUCUCUGCCAUGAACAGGGAUUCCCCGCAGCACUGGGUACGUGGACAAGAUGAGGAUGCCCAUCACUUCCCACCUGAGUGUGCUGGAUUGAAAAGACUGGCAGGCUCCAGGAAUUUGGGGAAAGCAGGUUUCAGUGAAAAUGAGCCCCAUGGUUCAGUGGCUCCGGCGCCCGAGAAGGAAGAUGGAGAAACCCAGGCCGGUGGGAAGAAUCUGCUAGAGGGAGGUCACCAGGAGUUCUGGUGCAGGUGGGGAGUGAAGGUCUCCUGUCUCCCUGGUGGGAGAACUUCCCUGCCCAGCCCUGCUGCCCCAUGGUUGUAAACCCAGAGUCACACAACUGGUAGCCAGCCCUCCCAGCUGGCUGCCGUGGCCCACUAGGCAUGAUUUAGUGCUGGCCGUGACUUAGAAAAUGGGUUUGUGCCCCUGGCACCCAGUUGGUGCUGGAAAUGGAAGUGGCAUGUUUUGGCGUGUCCUGGCCUUCAGGCUGAACACUGUUUAU